AUCCUGGCUCAGGAUGAACGCUAGCGGCAGGCUUAACACAUGCAAGUCGAGGGGCAGCGCGAUGUAGCAAUACAUUGGCGGCGACCGGCGCACGGGUGCGUAACACGUAUGGAAUCUGCCCUGUACUGGGGAAUAGCCCGGAGAAAUCCGGAUUAAUGCCCCAUAACAGACGAAGUGGCAUCACUUUGUCUUGAAAGCUCCGGCGGUACAGGAUGACCAUGCGCACGAUUAGCUAGUUGGUGAGGUAACGGCUCACCAAGGCUACGAUCGUUAGGGGGCCUGAGAGGGUUAUCCCCCACACUGGUACUGAGACACGGACCAGACUCCUACGGGAGGCAGCAGUGAGGAAUAUUGCGCAAUGGAGGCAACUCUGACGCAGCCAUGCCGCGUGCAGGAAGAAGGCGCUACGCGUUGUAAACUGCUUUUACCCGGGAAGAAACCCCUCUACGUGUGGAGGGUUGACGGUACCGGAGGAAUAAGCACCGGCUAACUUCGUG
rnacentral:rRNA from 1 species